rnacentral:rRNA from 1 species
UGCGCGUGCUAAUACAUGCAAGUCGAGCGGACAGAUGGGAGCUUGCUCCCUGAUGUUAGCGGCGGACGGGUGAGUAACACGUGGGUAACCUGCCUGUAAGACUGGGAUAACUCCGGGAAACCGGGGCUAAUACCGGAUGCUUGAUUGAACCGCAGGUUCAAUUAUAAAAGGUGGCUUUUAGCUACCACUUACAGAUGGACCCGCGGCGCAUAGCUAGUUGGUGAGGUAACGGCUCACCAAGGCAACGAUGCGUAGCCGACCUGAGAGGGUGAUCGGCCACACUGGGACUGAGACACGGCCCAGACUCCUACGGGAGGCAGCAGUAGGGAAUCUUCCGCAAUGGACGAAAGUCUGACGGAGCAACGCCGCGUGAGUGAUGAAGGUUUUCGGAUCGUAAAACUCUGUUGUUAGGGAAGAACAAGUACCGUUCGAAUAGGGCGGUACCUUGACGGUACCUAACCAGAAAGCCACGGCUAACUACGUGCCAGCAGCCGCGGUAAUACGUAGGUGGCAAGCGUUGUCCGGAAUUAUUGGGCGUAAAGCGCGCGCAGGCGGUUUCUUAAGUCUGAUGUGAAAGCCCCCGGCUCAACCGGGGAGGGUCAUUGGAAACUGGGGAACUUGAGUGCAGAAGAGGAGAGUGGAAUUCCACGUGUAGCGGUGAAAUGCGUAAAAAUGUGGAAGAAAACCAAUGGGGGAAGGGAACCCUCGGGCCGGUAAUGGACCCUAAGGCCCAAAAGCGGGGGGAGCGAACGGGAUUAAAUACCCGGGUAGUCCACCCCGUAAACGAUGAGUGCUAAGUGUUAGAGGGUUUCCCCCCUUUAGUGCUGCAGCAAACGCAUUAAGCACUCCGCCGGGGGAAUACGGUCGCAAGACUGAAACUCAAAGGAAUUGACGGGGGCCCGCCCAAGCGGUGGAGCAUGUGUUUAAUUCCAACCACCCCGAAAAACUUAACAAGUCUUGAACUCCCCUGACAAACCUAAAAAAUAGGCCUUCCCCUUCCGGGGCGAAUGGAAAGGGUGGCCAAGGUUGCCUCCACCUCGGUCCCGGAAAGUUAGGUUAAGUUCCGGAACAAGGCCAACCCUUUAACCUAUGGCCAAAAUCAAUUGGUAACCUAAAGGGAAUCCGCGGUCCACCCCCGGGAACGGUGGGGGGAGGGCUUUAAUCUAAGGCCCGUUGAACCGGGUUUCAAGGGGU